CAACAUUCACACAUUUUCUGAAAAGUAUGUAGCGUAUGUAUUUAGUCAGUACAUGAGGACAUUUUCAUAUUUGUUUGUGUUGUAUUGACAUUUCUUUUGACAAAACAGAAGUAACAUUUAGUUCUGUAGGAAGUGAAAUCUUUGAAACUCGGGGAUCAGGGAGCAACUACUGACGGCUGCGUUCGAAUACUCGCGGGAGACUUGGAUAGGUACCACAGAACUACGGAAUCGAGAGAACUGCAGUUUCAACGCGGGCUUGACCUGUCCAGCGUUGUCUCCGAAAGAUUACGGAAAGCAGCACAAGAAGACUGCCCCGGUUGACCGUGACUGGCCGCAAUGACCGGGCACGGGGAGAGUAACGUGUGUGUGGUCGAGGAGGAUAAAGAGAGUCUGAGAAGAAGGUUGGAGCAUCUGCAGAGGGAGUAUGAACGAACUGCCCUUCGACUACAGAGAGCGGAGCGCAGAGACGUGGUCCGCAGGCAUGUUCGUAGUCGCAUCUCAGAACACAACCAAUCACUGCCCUCGGAACACAACCAAUCACUGCCCUUCCCUCAAACGCAAGCCCCUCCCAUGCAUCCACUCGAGUCAAACCACUGCAGCAAACCAGCUAACCAAUCAGGACGAGGUGUGGAUGUUCCGUGCGUAGACUCUGUUCCUCAGGGUUCGUCCGCUGCAGAAUCCGGGGGUUUGGGUUCUCCGCAGACCCGGAGGGUAACCCGGGUUACGGCCGUUCAGUUCCACCUGCCGGCGGCAGCAGUCCUCUCACCGAAGCUGAGCCCCUCCCACCGGCUGAGGACCAGACGCAGCCGACUGCGCUUGGCAGAGAGAGGGAGGGAUGGAGAGAGCAGUCAGGAGAGAGAGAGGGGGAGGGAUGGAGAGAGCAGUCAGGAGAGAGAGAGGGAGAGGGAGAGGAAACGGGAGAAAGAGAGAGAGAGGGAUGGAGAGAGCAGUCAGGAGAAAGAGAGAGAGAGGAAGGGGAACCAAUCAAACGCCAUUACAGUCUUGGAAAACCAAUCAAAUGUCGCAGGCUUGGAGCACAAAUCUAGUGGUAGAUCUCAGAGUUGUGACCAGUCAUCACUGACAGCUGUGCCGUCCAAUCAGACGCAUGCGAGCCCCUCAGUCAACCAGUCAGACACCAGGAGUCUUGCUUCUGACCAAUCACAGCAAAGGAGACUCCCUAGUAACCCCAAGAGGGCAGCGGGAAACACACAGCCAGCGGUUGCUCCCGGUGACCAGCCAGCGGUUGCUCCCGGUGACCCGCCUGCUCACGAUGCGGUCACAGCCUCCAGCCAAUCACGAGGCAGAACGCAGCGGAGCUCUUCAGGCAAAGAGGUUGCCCAGGCAGAGGCGUGCGGAGUUGACCAAUGGGAGAGCUCGUGUACAGAGGCGUGUGGGAUCGACCAAUGGGAGAGCUCGUGCACACUGGUGGAGGGGCUGCUGUUUCCCGUGGAGUACUACGUCAGGACGACGCGCCGCAUGGCAAACUCUCAAAGCCCAUUGGACCUCGAGGCUGUCAUUCACAGCCAGCUGAGUCGGGGGCAGGGCAGACGCAGAGCCAGCCAAUCACGGCCCUCCAGGACACCCAGUGGUGCUGCCCCAGAGGUUUCCUGCCUGGACUCUAAGCCAAUCGGAGCGGAGGCUUCCUCCUUGCGGACUGAGUCUCGGCCAAUCAGGGCUCGGAGACGCCGCCGAGGGGCAGGCUGGGCCAGGAGGCCGAGGCGGAGUCGAAUCCCGAGCCCGAAAUGGACCAAUGAGGAUGCAGCGUCAGAUACAGAGUGCCUCUCUUUCUCGGAGAACCCUGACACGCCCCACUCGGAACCAAUCACGGCUGAUGACUGCACAGAGACACGCCCAAAAACCCACUCAGAGCCAAUCACAACAGAUUACCUCACAGAGACACACCCACACACCCAUUUGGAGCCAAUCACAGCAGAAGACUGCACAGAGACACGCCCACAAACCCACUCAGAGCCAAUCACAGCAGAAGACUGCACAGAGACACGCCCACAAACCCAGUCAGAGACAAUCACAGCUGAUGACCUCACAGAGCCACGCCCACAAACCCCUGGUCUCGUCGAAUCACAGCCACUCCCACACCAGAAGCCACUCCUCCUUCCAGAAGUCUACCCAAUCUUCAAGAGGGGGAGUGACCCGAAACUACAGCAAACACAGGCAGACGAAAGAGGCGUAUCGUCUCUGCUACUGCCCUCUCUGGCCUCUCUCACCCACGCGCUGAAAGCAGAGGAUCAUGGGAGUCUGCUGCUCACCUUUGACCUCCAGGACUUCCAUCUCCCUGACGACGAGUUUGGCCACCUCAAGCUGCAAAAGCUCUGCCCCCUGAACCCGGGCGUGGAGCCGUACUCUCCUCCGGACUGCGUCCUGAACACGCGUCGUAGCAACCGUCGGCAUAGCAACAAGACUCUAGGCAACGCCACGCCUGGCAACAAGACGCCUGGCAACGCGACGCCCGUCAAUCGCUGUAAAAGGGCUCUUUUGGACUCCCACUCUGAGGACAGUGAUUGGUUGAGCUCAGACCCCCUGCUCCUAAGCCCCACCUCAACAGGAAGUGAGGUGCACUGCAGCCAAUCACAGACAAGGGGUGAUGAGCUGGACCAGUCACAGAAUAAACGGAAGCCAAUCCCAGGCUUAACAGAUACCAGGGACCAAUCAGAGAAGAGGUCGGGCACUGCCAACCUGUCAGACACAACGGGGCGGGCUGGUGACCAAUCCCAACCAGGGGGAGGGACUACUGACCAAUCAGACAGGCAAAUAGACCCUACUGACCAAUCAGAGAGGCAAAUAGACCCUACUGACCAAUCAGAGAGGCAGGGAGAAAGCGCUGGCUGCAGGCUAACACGGACAGAUGCCCACAACACUUUAGACACACACACACUUGCAGACGCACACUCAGACAUACACAAUGCUUUAGACACACACACACUUGCAGACACACACUCACACAUACACAACACUUUAAACACACACACACUUGCAGACAUACACUCACACAUACACAACACUUUAGACACACACACACUGGCAGACACACACUCACACACACACAAUGCUUUAAACACACACUCAGACAUACACAAUGCUUUAGACACGCACAGAGACACACACACAUCCACAGUCACACACCCACUCAAAGAUUCAGAAACACACUCAAACACAAAGAUUCUCACACACACUCACACACUGACAGACUUGUGCCCGCUCAAAGACUCAAAUACAGUAUCAGACACACACACACACUGUGUGGCAGACACACACACACACUCUGUGGCAGACACACACACACACUCUGUGGCAGACACACACACACACUCUGUGGCAGACACACACACACCCGCUCUUCUGAACCUCAGCCUGUCCCUGACCUCACACAGCCAGAGGGGUCACGACCUGACCUGCCCUCCCUUGGCCUCACCCCGUUCUCUCCCCCCCGCCCUGUGA
rnacentral:lncRNA from 1 species